rnacentral:tRNA from 1 species
UGAGUUUUAAGUUAUAUAAACUUAAGGCCUUCAAAGCCUUCAAUAGAGGUCUCCUCAAACUUUG